GUGUGUGUUAGUGGUGAGUAUACAGUGUGUUGUUAGUGUGUGAUAUACAGUGUGUGUGUCAGUGUGUGAUGUAUACAGUGUGUGUGAGUGUGUGAGUAUACAGUGUGUGUGUUAGUGUGUGAGUAUACCAGUUGUGUGUUAGUGGGUGAGUAUACAGUGUGUGUGUGAGUGUGUGAGUAUAAAGUGUGUGUGUUAGUGGGUGAGUAUACAGUGUGUGUUAAUGUGUGAGUAUACAGUGUGUGUGUCAGUGUGUGAGUAUACAGUGUGUGUGUUAGUGUGUGAGUAUACAGUGUGUGUGAGUAUACAGUGGUGUGUGUUAUGUGUGAGUAUACAGUGUGUGUUAGUGGGUGAGUAUACAGUGUGUGUGUUAGUGUGUGAGUAUACA
ensembl:lncRNA